UCAGAUUCGUCGUUACCUCCGCUCGUUCCCGCCAGUACACCGAUGCCCCGAACCCCGACUCCGAGCUCGACUUCUCUGGCAACGAUGUGCUUGGGGAGCUCGAGUCUUCGAAACCAAUCAACCCAUUUCCAGAAUGUGGAGUUGGGUCCGAAAGGAUCGAAUCUCAUUAGAACCGCAUGCCUGAAUUUCGCCCGCGACAGAUACGACGUUAUGAGGAAACGGAACUCCACCGUCUUCAAACCAGGCCAAGAAUCACAACACUGUGAAGGAAAGGAGUUUUCUUCUUUCUUUGUUCGUUUUGAAAACCUGAAGAAGAGAGAAUAGAUAGUUUUCCUAGGAGCUUGUGAAUGGUCAUGUUGUUUUGGAUAAUAUCACCAUGUUGUGUCAACUAUAAAGUGAUGGCCUAUUAUCAUAAAUCUACAGAUUUGUAAUUUGUUUUUUUUUUCACGAACAAUGAAUGAUUUAGAAAAUAUUUUCUUAGAAAUGAUUGUUUGUAUCGCUUGAAAUUAUUAGUCAAUGAUAAAUAUUUUCAUAAUUGAUAACAAUAAAUAUCUAAAUAUUUUCGUGGAUGAUGAAAAUAUUUUCUUCAUUCAUUUUUGUAAGUGAUACAAGCGACCAUUUUUUAGAAACUAGACAUUUUCUCCUGAGCUUUCUUUUAUCCAGAAUUCUGUUAGUAAGCUAAAUGUAAUAUUGUUAAAAGCACCUUUGUUGGCAUCUUAGUCCAUCUUUUUCUGCAUAGUGGCAACAACAUGGUGCCUUGUGUGCAUCCUCCUUUACCUAGAAAAGAGAAUCCUAAGGACUCGCCUUUAGGUUUCAAGCUUACCCAUCCACUAUCAGGCCUUUCUAUGUUACUAUGCCUUGCUCUCGAAUUGAAGUAUUUGACUAGAACCUGGAGCCAAAGAUUUUCGACGACGUAACCUGAAAAGAGGCAAUUCAUAUUACAUUGGGCAAGUGAUAAUAAUACAUAUUAAGAAUUUAGCUGGUGAUCAAUUUGACGGUAUGCAUUCUGAUUUGGAGGUUAGCUAUUCAAUGUAUCUAAUGACUGUCCAAUGCAAUAUCAUCACCAAAUAGGUAUCCGACAACAUAGCUUUACUUGAGAAACCGGAGGUUUCCUCAUUUGCAAAUAGAAACAGUCGCUUAACUCAUAGUCAGAAGGUUUUAACAAGACAUUUCCUGAUAGGUAUUUGUCAAAGAAACAUAUUCAGGUCUUAGCAGAGUGUGGAUGCCCCAGACAGACAGAAAAGUGGUGAACUCUGGUUUGCAGCUCCUGCAACUUGAGGGGAAACUGUGAGAGAGCAUUUGUGAAGGCGCGUGAAGAUGAAGGAGGGGGGCACGGUUGAUGUUAUGCGAAUCUUGUUGACAUAAGGACUUGACCCCAUAAGCGAUACUGUGGAGAAUAAACCAUGUCUGACUAGAACAGUUAAGGAAUCAGUCAGAGCACUGCUAAAGCAAAUGACAGAGUAUGGCACCGAUGUACUUGGCUCUGAUUUGUCGAAAUCCACACCAGCUGGUGAUUUAUCCUCACAUUCAAGUUCGGAAGAGAAAGGCUACAAAGAUGUUCCAAUGAAACAAGGAGAUUGGCAUUGCCCCAAGUGCAACUUCUUAAACUUUGCUAAGAACAUCAAAUGCUUGCGAUGCGAUACUUUUUCUCCGGAAAGAUUGAAUCAACUACUGGAAGACCAAGAUCAUCUUCUGCUAAAGAAAGGAGACUGGAUAUGUGACAAGUGAUUGCUUCUCAUGCCUUUUCUCACUUGUUCACUGAUUUGUGGUGAGCAGAGCUCCUUGCUUAUAGAAACUGUUGCAUUUUGCUGAUGCAAUUUCUUAAAUUUUGCGAAGAAUACUAGAUGUUUGCGGUGCAAAGAGAAACCCCCCCGGAAAGGCAACUCAAUCCUGGGGAGUGGGAAUGUGAAUCGUGCAAUUACAUCAACUUUAGAAGGAAUAUGGUAUGCUUGAAGUGUGAUUAUAGAAGGCCUAAAGCAUCAAAUUUAAAGGGCUUGUCUCAACGAGAGCAUGAUGCUGGAAAUCACAAUCAAGGUCAUGGAGCCGUUGAAGAU